rnacentral:rRNA from 1 species
UAGGGAAUCUUCCGCAAUGGGCGAAAGCUUGACGGAGCAACGCCGCGUGAGUGAUGAAGGUCUUCGGAUCGUAAAACUCUGUUAUUAGGGAAGAACAAAUGUGUAAGUAACUAUGCACGUCUUGACGGUACCUAAUCAGAAAGCCACGGCUAACUACGUGCCAGCAGCCGCGGUAAUACGUUGGUGGCAAGCGUUAUCCGGAAUUAUUGGGCGUAAAGCGGGCGUAGGCGGUUUUUUAAGUCUGAUGUGAAAGCCCACGGCUCAACCGUGGAGGGUCAUUGGAAACUGGAAAACUUGAGUGCAGAAGAGGAAAGUGGAAUUCCAUGUGUAGCGGUGAAAUGCGCAGAGAUAUGGAGGAACACCAGUGGCGAAGGCGACUUUCUGGUCUGUAACUGACGCUGAUGUGCGAAAGCGUGGGGAUCAAACAGG